UGUUGCGUGAAAAGCUGAGUUAUGAAAUUAGCGUAAGCGUGUUUAAAGUACAUAGGCUUUCAUUGACUUGUUCAGAAGAUCAUAUCAGAAAGUAAAGUUUGCUAACUAGGUACAUCUAUGUUGUUACAAUGUGUCAACGGUUGUGAAAGUGCUAUUUUAUAGGUAAUUAUAUUGCAGCACCUGUUACAAUCUGGCACUACGAAGACAGAAGUGAAAGCAAGAAAGAUGUUGUUAUCGCCCCUACUUGGCCACAGAGAAGGCUGGGUGCCCAAAAUCCAAUGACAUCACAAAGUACUUCAGUAUAACCCCACAACCUCUUGGGAGGAAGAGCCUAAUUUCUGAGCAGGUGAAAGAGAAACCUAAGAUGGCGCCUUGUCAUAUUAGGGGGUCUUAUGAUGAGGUGCCUCUCUCUGUGUCACGGUCAACCAGUAGGCGGCACAGACUCAAGCGGAACAGAUACCCCAAAGCAAGAACAAGCCUCAUCAAGGAUAGCCCCUGCUCAGACCCUCCUAAUAAUGUUAGUGAUUUCAGAGUCAAGCUGCUCCAGUGCUGACACAGAAUUCAGGAGCAGGGCAGUGAUGGGGUCUGUGGACCUGUCUCAUGUCACUGGCCAAUGCCAUAGAGCAGGAGUUGGACUCGUAUCUGGCCAGAAUGUAAUAGCAUGUACCCUCACAAUACAAACAGUGGUGCAGUCUGCCUCUGGGACAACCAGGGUCUCGGAUGAGAAAGUGGCAACCAUUUUCACCAGGAAACAGGACACUAAUAAGGCCCAUAGUACCCAACACUCAGAGACGGAUUUUGAAUUGGUGGUCCAGCUCAACACUUAAACACAACCAGACUGAGAGGAAGGGGUCAAUUACUUCUGGCUGGAGAGAUAAGUUGUCAGGGUCUGUCCACAAAGGGUCUCUUGAAGAGGUCAAAGUGUCUAGCCCACUGUUCCCAGUCUUCACUGUGCUGCUGAAGAAAUACAAAGAUAAAAUUCUGGAGUUGGAAAGUCCAGAGACAAGAGAUAGGCGCUGCAUCUCCUAGCUCUGUAGGAGAGAAGAGGAAACAUCAGAAUGAGAGGGAGGACCUGAAACAGUACGCAAGCGCCAAAGGUCUAGCCCGUGGUUAGAGGAGACCAGCUUUACUGGGUAGUCCCUCUUUAGAACACCAAGUCAUGGGGUCUCUUAUCCCCUCUUCCAGGGGUCAGCCUAGAAGAAGCAGGCUGAGCUGAACACACUCAGGCAGCAACAGCGGGACAGUCAAGGUCUGUCAUUGAUUGGGAUCUGCCAUUGGUCUUUAAGAGAUCUACCUUAUUUCUACCAACAUUGAGGAUUUGCUGUGGACAGAAGUACCGCCCUCAGCACUCCAGUGAGGUAAUAGGCAACUCCGCCUCUGUAAAGAAGCUACACAGUUGGUUAAAGAAAUGGAAACUGAGAGUUGACUGAGAGGAGAAAAGAUCUAGAAAGGAAACUAGAGAACAAUGCCAACAGCAAUGGACCUCCAGGGGUGGGCAAGACUGCCUCAGUAUACGCCUGCGCUCAGGAGCUGGGCUUCAAGGUCAGGGUGUUCGACGUGAACGCCUCCUCCCAGCACAGUGGUCGCCACGUCCUCACUCAACUGAAGGAGGCCACCCAAUCUCACCUGGGGGAGAUCCAGGGAAGCACCACCUUCAAACCAUCUCAUCUCAGUAGCUACAACAACACUUCAACUAAAUCUGACAGUAGCUGGUAAAAGGAGGCCUCUCCCAGAAAGGUUUUCUCAUCCUCUAGGAAGGGGCCUCAGCUCCCUCGUAGCUCCCACCAUAAGAGAGCAGUGCAGUGCAGCCUCCAUGAUGCUGGCUAACGUAAUAUAAUAAUAAUAAUAAUAUAUGCCAUUUAGCAGACGCUUUUAUCCAAAGCGACUUACAGUCAUGUGUGCAUACAUUCUACGUAUGGGUGGUCCCGGGGAUUGAACCCACUACCCUGGCGUUACAAGCGCCAUGCUCUACCAACUGAGCUACAGAAGGACCACGUCUUCAAGAAGAAGCGUAAACCAGAGAUCAAACUUAAGACUGCCCUUUGUUAUCUACAAAACAGGACAAGCAGCUACCAAACAGUUAAACACAAGAAACACCUUGCGAGCUUAGUUAACCACACAUAGGCAUGUGUUGAUCUUAGGAGGCUGGUGGGAGGAGCCAUAGGAGCAUGGGUUCAUUGUAAUAGCUGGAAUGGAAUUAAUGCAACAGGGCCGACCGUGUAGUUUCCAUAUGUUUGAUACCGGUCCAUUUAUUCCAUCAAUUACAAUAAGCCCGUCCUCCUAUAGCUCAUCCCACCAGCCUCGUGGCUACGAUUAGUCUUUUUGUUUAAUCGUUAUUAUUUCCUACAGUUUUUUUGUCUCAAGACCGUGACUGUGAAGAAGGCAGAUAUUAUUAACCCUACGUUGGUCAGUCAACUGUCACCAGACAUUGAAGAGCCACCAACCGGUAGCCGGAGUAAAAGGAUGUCCACAUCACUCAUUCUAUUUGAAGAGGUUGAUGUCGUAUUCGAUGAUGUGGGAUUCCUCUCAGUAAUCAAGACCUUCAUGACGACUACCAAGAGACCCGUGAUACUGACCACUAGUGGUGUGUGUGUGUAUAUACUGACAAAUGAGUUCAAUCUGUAUUGAAAAUGAUGUGAAGUUGAAUCAUAACACAAACUGUCUUCAGAUCCCUCCUUCAAGGCCUAAGUUUGGCGGUGACUUUGAAGCGAUCCUUUUUAAAACAACCUUCAGUAGUGAGUCGAGCAUCUUGGCACCAUUGCAUCCCCUCACCUAAUGUGCAUGAUAUGAUAUGAAGCUGCUACUCCAUUUAGUUUCUGUCUGUUGUGCACCCUCCCAGGUGAACGUUUGCAGUUAUCUGCAGCUGCUGUGCCUGGCUGAGACCACUCUAAAGGCAGAGGCCUUGUGACCUUGAACUAGAUGAACAUCCACAAUGCUUUUAUUCAGGUAACAACAUUGAAUGACCGUCUGACUGUAUGAGGUACCUUUCUCUGUGAUUCCUCAGUGCCAGUCCUGGGCUAGACCAGACACCAUCAAGCUAAUGGAGAUCCUUACUGAGAGCUGGAGGAGAGGUGUAGCGUUAAACUACUCGAACCUGGAGCUCCUUCCCCUAUCAAUCAGGACCCAGCCCAGUCCUUUCUUCACCCCAAAGAAAGUGACUUGCUCUAGGCUUCAGAGUGAGCCAACACCCCCUGACAUCCACCACCCUCAGGUCCCACUGAUCCUGGAUCAGACCAGUUAAGGUAUACACCUACACCGGCUCCAGGCUGAGGAGAAAGAAAUGUCUGGCAACAUCUGAUUUCAGAUCAGCUCACGUUAGAAAAGCCUUAGUGCCUCACUGUCUUCUGAGGGCUCAUCCAAGUGUAUCAAAUAUUACUGAGACUGUUGAUGACAAACUGAGAAGGCGGCAGAUGGCUUGGUGUACCACUGCUUAGAUGCAAUAACUGACUUUAUGGACCUCGUGUCCUUCAUUGAUCUCUCAACCGAGUGAGUCUUCACAUAAGGCUGGCCCAUGCAGACCAGGGGCGGAGGUUAAGGACGGACUGCUAAGAUGAGAGAGGAUGGGGGCUGUAGGUGGUGGGGUGAGAUGACAUUGGAAAUCCAGGCUGCAGUAAAGGGCCUGGGCUUCCAGAGGUGCCUGGACAGGGUGUCUGAGGGAUGGGCUGGAUCCCAGAGGCUGGAGGGUGAUUGAGAAACUCAACCUCCCCGUCGCCCCACCCAGACAGGGUUUCAACGUCAGUCAGACCACUUCCUGUGAUCCUAGGUGACUGCAGUUACCUGAGUGUUAUUUUGUUCGCUGUCAGAAAUACAUUGGUGGCUCAGUCCUCUAAAUUACCAUACAUGCUUAUGUGAAGUUAGCACUCACGUUUGUAAUGCUGUUAGAAUUUGGUUCAAACGGUUAGUCAGAAAUGAGCAUCAUUGCAAACAACCUUCUGGUGGUAUCUGAACAGAAGUUUGUCUUCCAGCGGGGUCGAAAGGAGAUAUGACCUCAUCAGAACUGUCCUCUCAAACCAAGCCUUCUGCACCUUGGGAAACAAGCAAGCUGUUGCCGUGGACUACCUGCCUGUCCUCCGCACCAUGUGCCAAUCAGAGAGAACUCCGGAGCAGGGCCAAGGCAGGUUGCUGCGUUACCUUGGCCUCCUUGCAGAUAAAUGGUCAUUGUCAUGGAAAAUCAAGUCAGCAAGUUCUGGCUCUACACCGCAUGACUGAGGUUAAUGCCAUCAUCCCCAUGUUAAUGACUUGUGAUUUAGUGAAUGUAGCCCAUAUGGGCGUUCAUGAUAAAGUUUGCUGUACAUUCAUUCAUGCUUAUUACAUUGAGUGAAGUUUCUACUGUAUGCAUUCCAAAUGUAUAAAUGAAAUAUGAAAUCUUAUUUUUAUUUAUACAUAAAAAAAUAACAUGCAUUUGUUACAAUCUGAUUAAGUGAGUUGGUGUUUAAAACCAGAGGUAUUUCAGGCUUUGAAAGGCAUUAAACAUUUGUCCAUAAAGGUACAGAUGCAGGUGGUCGCAUAUGAUUUGUCAGAUCACCGAACACAUUCAAGCCUAUUCUGCUUUACUAUCGGCCCUCACGGAACAUUUCUAUUCAUGGGAAAGUGAAGAACAUGACGUGUGGUGUCUGAGGAGAGGCUUAAGUUCAGCUGCUGGGGCCUGAACUGACACCUCAAGUGCAAUACCAUCUGAGUCGAGAGGUGGGAAGUGCUGUAGUAACCAUUUAAAUAUAAGCUAGUGUCAGUUUCCAUCAAGCCUCCAAUAUGCAGGUCUCUCUCAGGUUCGCUCUGUGACCUUCGACCCCACCAGGUCACACAUACUGUACACAGUCAACCAGUUUCAGUCCCUGGUGGAAAUUGCCGCUGUAUUAUUAACUCUAUUCACUGAGCAGCUUGUAAAACGCCACAGCCUGCACACAGCUCACACAGCCGACGCCACCCACCCACCUGGAAGGAGUUCCUGUAUUUCACAGACAGGUUGUGAGGGAAUGUCACCCUCAAUCUGAGUCACUGACUCCAUCAUCCAUUGCACCGCCUGGGCCCUGCUGGUGCGCAA